rnacentral:lncRNA from 1 species
CACAUUCUCCACGCUGCCCCAGUAGACUUCCAGAAGCUGUAGUAACUUCUGGGCCAAACCCCAAGGUCAAUAGUGUCCUCCUUCCUGCUUAAAUUAUGGGAUGCAGCUGCUGGCUAGUCUAGUCCCUUAGGACAUGCCUUCCUCUUUAUUUCCACUGUAGCAGGCAAAGUGUUGCAGACCGUGGCCCAGGGCUGUGAAUCCAGUGUAGUCUGCAAUGCUCCGAAAACCCACUUGAACAUGGGGAACGGGAAAAUCCUUCAAGGAAAUUUGGUUUGUUGCACUGGGGAUGCUUGUAAAACAACCAUCCCUUCAUUACCAUCAAUAGAGACUAACGCCAAUGGAAAGCAUUGCCCUGCCUGCUUUUCUGAAACAGGUACAUGCAAGGAAGAAUUUACGAACUGUACCGGGGAUGAAAAUUACUGCUUCCAUCUCUUUAUGCGUUCCUAUGGAGAUGGGGUGCUCUGGGACACAAUCAUGGAAGGCUGCACCACCAAGUCAACAUGCCGUUACAUCAGUGACGGGGACUUGUUCAUCCUUCAACGUCGCAACACAGUGAUUAUAACAGCCUCAUGUUUGGUGGCGGCUUCGAAGAGGCUUUACUCUUGCCAAUUCCACCC